AUUGAACGCUGGCGGCAUGCCUUACACAUGCAAGUCGAACGGUAACAGGUCUUCGGAUGCUGACGAGUGGCGAACGGGUGAGUAAUACAUCGGAACGUGCCUAGUAGUGGGGGAUAACUACUCGAAAGAGUGGCUAAUACCGCAUGAGAUCUACGGAUGAAAGCAGGGGAUCGCAAGACCUUGUGCUACUAGAGCGGCCGAUGGCAGAUUAGGUAGUUGGUGGGAUAAAAGCUUACCAAGCCGACGAUCUGUAGCUGGUCUGAGGGGACGAGCAGCCACACUGGGACUGAGACACGGCCCAGACUCCUACGGGAGGCAGCAGUGGGGGAUUUUGGACAAUGGGCGCAAGCCUGAUCCAGCAAUGCCGCGUGCAGGAUGAAGGCCUUCGGGUUGUAAACUGCUUUUGUACGGAACGAAAAGCCCUGGGUUAAUACCCUGGGGUCAUGACGGUACCGUAAGAAUAAGCACCGGCUAACUACGUGCCAGCCGCCGCAGUAACAC
rnacentral:rRNA from 1 species